rnacentral:rRNA from 1 species
GACGAACCGUGCGAACGUUGUUCGGAAUCACUGGGCUUAAAGGGCGCGUAGGCGGCUCGCGAGUCGGGGGUGAAAUCCCGCGGACUCAACCGCGGAAGGGCCUCCGAGUACCGGCGGGCUGGAGGGGGGUAGGGGUGCGCGGAACUUCUGGUGGAGCGGUGAAAUGCGUUGAUAUCAGAAGGAACGCCGGCGGCGAAAGC